AGUGAAGCGGCAAAAGCUCAAAUUUGAAAUCUGGCACCUUCGGUGUCCGAGUUGUAAUUUGAAGAAGGUAACUUUGGAGUUGGCUCUUGUCUAUGUUCCUUGGAACAGGACGUCACAGAGGGUGAGAAUCCCGUGCGAUGAGAUGCCCAAUUCUAUGUAAAGUGCUUUCGAAGAGUCGAGUUGUUUGGGAAUGCAGCUCUAAGUGGGUGGUAAAUUCCAUCUAAAGCUAAAUAUUGGCGAGAGACCGAUAGCGAACAAGUACAGUGAUGGAAAGAUGAAAAGAACUUUGAAAAGAGAGUGAAAAAGUACGUGAAAUUGUUGAAAGGGAAGGGCUUGAGAUCAGACUUGGUAUUUUGCGAUCCUUUCCUUUUUGGUUGGGUUCUCCGCAGCUUACUGGGCCAGCAUCGGUUUGGACGGUAGGAUAAUGAUUAAGGAAUGUGGCUCUGCUUCGGUGGAGUGUUAUAGCCUUGGUUGAUGCUGCCUGUCUAGACCGAGGACUGCGUCUUUUGACUAGGAUGUUGGCAUAAUGAUCUUAAGCCACCCGUCUUGAAACACGGACCA
rnacentral:rRNA from 1 species